CCUGUCAGAGUUAACCACGUUCACAGAAUGUAAUUAAGUGCCGGGAAGGUUCUGUGCUGUGUUCUCUGAUUUACUGCUUCGUUCCGGGGACGGCUCUUCCACGGGGCGAACGCUGUGGGGUCGGGGCGCCGGGGGAGCCGAGAUGGGGCGGCGGGCGCCUGUUCCGAUCCCGGGCUGGGCGCUCGGGUCUACGGCUUGGCACCGCCGCGCGCCGGGUGGCGAGCGCAACGCGCUCAGCGGAGGCCACACCUGCACCUCAUUUGCUUGCGAGCAGCGCCAUAACCCGCCUGCUGAUGGGGCGCCUUCUCUUUCAUUCUCCGGAUUAUGACAAGUUAUUAAUUGCCGCCAUUAGCCGCAGCAGCCUGCGCGAGAUCUCUGCUGCUCUCUGGAGAAAAUUCUCUGCACAUUUGGAAGUUAUCUGGGGCUGUGUGAUUUGAUUUAAAAAAAAAAAAAAAAGAAUUGUGAACAAAAGUGACAGGUGUCACUUGCCGGUAGGAACCUUUAAGAACCAGUGAAUGAUCUGCCAAGUUUUCAUCUCCUACAUGGCAACCAUCAACACUCCAGGUGAGGAGACUUCAUUAACCCUCAUCUCUGAGAGAAGCAAUCAGAAGUAGAUAAAGAACUGGCAGCCCAAGAGACAGAUCUUUAGUGUUUUAAGCUACUGAGGUUUGGGAUCUAUUUGUUAUUGAGACACAAUAUAGCCUCACAUGACCAAUACAAAUAAAGAGUGAAAGGUGAGUCAUAUUCUUGCCCUGAUAGACAUUUUGGUAGAUGUUGGUUUUGCCACUUACAGCCCUAAGAGCGACCUACUAACAGGGAUCAAGAGACUGGAUUUCCUGUUCUGCCUGGGUGUUGUGUUUAUCUACCAUCAGCUUAUAAAAUACAUUAAUGGAUUUUCUUACAAGCAAUAAGUAUAGGAUUUUGCUUCUUUGUCUACCUUUUUGGUGUUUUAUCCUUCAUUCUUUGUGUAAAAUCUGUUAGCAAGGAGACUCCCAUUUGAAGAUGGGUUCUUUAGAGACUUGGGUUCCAAGGGUAUGGCUUUCUAAUUUUUUUAAAAUAUAUAUAUUUUUAGUUGUAGACAGACACAAUACCUUUAUUUUAUUUAUUUGUUUUUAUGUGGUGCUGAGGAUCGAACCCAGUGCCUCACAUGGGCAAGGCAAAUGCUCUAACAACUGAGCUAGAACCCCAGCCCUGGCUUUCUAAUAUUCCAGAAGAGUUUGCCCUUUCACGUCCUAUACUGACCCCAAGAGUAGAGGGAAUGUAUUGUUCUAAAUCCUGGCUUUACUACCUGCUAGUCACGUGGCCUUGGGUAAGUUGCUUAAUCUUUUCAAGCCUCAAUUCCUCACCUGUAAAAUGCAAAUAAAAUAAUACCUAUUUCAUGGGGGACGUUUUGGGAAUUAAAUGAGAAAAUGUACAUAGACCUUAAUAGAUAGUAAUUAUGAUUAUUGGUAGUGUUGUCACUAUUUUUUUUUUUUUUGGUACCAGGGAUUGAGCCCAGGGGCACUUAACCACUGAGCCACAUCUCAAGCCCUUUUUAUUUUGUAUUUUGAAACAGUGUCUCACUGAGUUGCUUAGGAUCUUGCUGAGGCAGGCUUUGAACUUUCGAUCCUCCUGCCUCAGCCUCCCAGCUGCUGGGAUUACAGGCAUGCAUCACCACAUCCGGCUGAGCUAACUAUUAUUGUUCCAUCAGGAUAGACUCAAAACCAGUGUCAAAAGAUCUUAUCACAAAAUCCAUGAACAUUCUUGGACAGUUUGCACAUGGAUCUGCUGGGAAAGGAGUUUGGAGAAAAUAACCUUCCAGCUUGUGCCCAAAGAUCAUUAUCCUCCGGCAGCACAGAGCUCCCCGAGGGAAACAAAGCAUCUCGGAAAGGUUCCAGUCCAGUGGGAGUCCUGCCAAGGGGGGACCUGGGUCAAAGCUAGUGUGUCUCAGGUCCUGGGAACUAGCCUUCUUGUAUGGCUUCUCUUUGAGAUAUUUAGCAACUCACUCUUUAGAAAAAGAUUAUCUCCUUUUUGAAAGUAACCUGACCACCUGUCAAAACUGGACUUGUGAGAGGAAUUGAGAAGCUAACCCCGGGCACUCUGGCCCGGCGCGCAUUUGGGUAAUUACGCUGGCACUAUCUUCUCUACUCCACAUCAACUUGGCUUCUAGUCCCAGCCCUCUUCUGAGACUCUGAUGAUGUGACUGAAGAGCUUCUGGGAUCUGCCCAGGUCAGCCAAGGAAGGAAGAAGUGUGAUUGACACAGAAGUUCUGCCAUGACCGCUUGUGGUCAUGGAAAUGAUUUGUCUAUUUGAGGAAAAGUGGCAACUAAGAAGAGAAGAAAAACAGAAAGAGUAUUAAACAUUCUACCCUACUUCCCUGCCAUCACAGAACAUACUCGAACACAGGGCUUUAAAAACCAUUCUUUGAUAAACUUCUAAAGGAGUUUACCAAGUGUCAGGCCUUGGGCCAUGGGCCAGUGACACAACGAUUCAUAAGGACAUGCCUUUCCCUACAGGGAGCUCCCAGUCUUUUGAUCAUUCAGCCACCCACAACCUACUUAUGGAUACAAACCAUGUGCCAGGUCCCGUAGUACUUGGUAUGGAACGAUGGACAAAAUAGAAGGCUAAAUGCACUCAUGGUGGCCGAUCUAUAAAGGGUGAACACAAACGUGCAUACAAUAAUGAACUGUUUUUUUUAUGUCUGCAAAGGAAACAUUGGGAGCAUAACAGAGGAUAUAUGACAGAAACAAAUACAUACUGGCAGAGCAUAGGAAAGAUGUCAGAGCAGAAACAUCAGUGUACUCACAUUCUGCCUGCAGAUUUGGACUGGUGCAGGAAGGAGCAGACCUCAUAUGAAAACCCAGAUGAUCAGGAAUGAAAUAAAUUAAUAAAGAUACACCACAGGUGUAUUUUUGCCACAUACAAACCACUAGGGAUCUAAAAUCCCAACUUAGAAAUUCAAGUCAGGAGCAGUGGUGUCCACCUGUGAUCUCCAGCUACUCAGAAGGCUGAGGCAGGAGGAUCACUAGUUUGAAGCUAAUCUGGGUGACUUAGCCUUAGUGAGACCCUGUCUCAAAAUAAAACAUGAAUAAAAAGGGCUGGGGAUGUAGUUCAGGGGUAGAGUGUCUCUGGGUUCAAUUCCCAGUACCCAAAAUCAGUCAGUCAAUCAAUCCUGAAUUAGUAAAUAUUUCAUUUUAUGGUGUUUCUGUAACUGUCUACAUAGACCAAUCAUUUUAUAAAGCAUUUGUUCUACAAAUAUUGAAAUAUUGUAUUGCAUUUUCAUGAAUCCAGCAUUAGCACAUCUAGCCUCCUCCUGCAGGCUCUCUCUAGCUGCUCCACACCACCCACCUAAGACUCAUGGGUCUUCUGUGAUUUUUUUUUUUUAUUCCACAAUUCCCUAUACAUGUCUCAUUUUUUCUCUUUUAUAAUUAUUGAUUUGCUUUGCUUUGCUCCUCAUGAUUGUCAACAUCCUGAAGACAAAGACUAUCUUAAUUGUCUCUGUAGGACUAGGGCUUAGCAGUUUUAGCUUGGGUUUCCUCAGAAACAGGCCCUAAGACAAGCAUUCAAUGUAAGUAAGUUUAUCUGGGAGCAGUCUCCAGAGAGCACUAGGAGAGGGGCAGCAAGGAGAAAUGGGAGGGAAAGAAGCUUAUGAGGAGUAUGCUGUCAAGCAAGUCACCAAGUCCCCUCUGGAGAACUCUGGGAGACCAGGUGGAACAUGCCCAGCACUGUCCCACUGAGGGUGAAGAAGCUGAUAUUUAUUUACCCACCAGCUUCCCGGCUGGUGCUCCCAGGGGCAUGAACCUACCAGCAUUUCUGGUUUACUCUCCUCACAAGUCAAGCCCCAGAAAAGCCCUCACUCAGAAGUGCUCCAGUGAGCAACCUUCAGAAUGUGGAGGUGAGUGCCAAGAGGAUGGGGGGAGAGUCCAAUGAGCAUCCCAAGGGCAGCUCGGGAGGCUUUGGUGGCUCAAUAUAACAAAAAAGCCAAGCAGCCCACAUUGUGAAGGAACAGGUUUAGUAGGGCUCUGUGGGCAGGCCUCACACUACUGCCAAAGCAUGGAGCCUGCAAUGGAGAGUUAGGUGUGGGGGCAACCCCAGCCCACUUGUGGGGAUGUUUGUUUCUACAGCAGUCAUGGACAGGAUCUCUGUGAGGAGCACAGUGUGAUUUUAACCACCCCUCUGUCCUUUGACCAGCUCACAUGGAACCAAAUCUUCAGCUAGUGGCGUGAUUCCAUCUGUGUUUUCUUUCCUGCAGGUGCUGAGGGGCUCAAGUACACACCAGCUAAUAAUUGUCACUUUCUGCAAGGAUAUGAAUCAUAGCAGCUGCUGCUUAUGAAUGAUAUCUUGUAGCAAUGCAUCCAACUCCUUUAACUUACACAUGAUCCCCAAAGUCCUCUUCCUUUGUCCUUCCAAAAAGAGGACAACUAACCUCCUUGAACUUCCCCCAUAUUCUGGUUGCCCUUUCUGUGUAAAAGUGAAAGUGAUGAUAUUGGUCUGGGACUUUCCCUGAAUCAGAGCUUUGUGGUGAAACAUAUAUGAACAACCUCAGUCAGGGCCUAAACCAAUAAAAUUUUAUUUAUUAUACCCUAUAUCUUCAAGAAUUAAGACUCCAGGAAGUAACACAGUAACUGCAGUGUAUCCAAUGUGCUCAUUCCUGUAACUCCAGUGUGGUGGGUGGAUAAGAAGACAGACUCCACCAGGUGCCUAGGUUCUGCACCUCCAUUUCCUCAUCUGGAAAGUAGAUAUGGUCGCAGUUCCCACCUCCGAGGGUUGAGAGGAGGACCAGAUGAGCUUCUCUGUGUAGAGCAACAACGCCCAGCUCUGCAUCUAAGGCUGAGAACAAGAAGGAAGAUACAAAGGAAGGGGAAAAAAGAGAAGAGGAGAGAAGAAAGAGAGAAAGAUGAAGAGUUUGUGGAUCCUCAUCUACAGUGUGUGCCAGAGCUCUGCCGAUACUGCUCAUCCGUGAGUAGAAUGUUCUGAGUACCUGCAUUGGCAGCAUUAGGCGGAUUCAUGUUAGACAGCCUUCUGUCACUAUGAUGAAAUACCUGAAAUAAAUAAUCAACAUAAAGGAAAAAGGUUUAUUUUGACUCACAAUUCUAGUUCUAUUUCUAGCUCUGUUGCUUUGGGUGAGGCAGCGCAUCCGUGGGGGACCAUGUGACAGAGCAAAAACCACUUGUCCUAUGGCCAAAAAGGAAAAGAGAGGAAGAAAAAGGGGCUGGGAUUUCACAAUUUGUUUGAAGGACAUGUCCCAGUGAUCUGUAGACUUCCUGCUUGAUUCCACCUCUUGAAGUUCCCACCACCUUCCAAUAGCACCUCCAUGGGGACCAAGCCUUGGACACAAGAGUCUUUGGGAGACAUUCAAGAUUCCAACCAUAACAUUCUCUUUUUAUGUAAAAUAACACCAAAGUGGUUGGGAGCAUGAAAUAAGAUAAUGUAUAUGAAGCCCUUAUAUAAGCAAAGGAAGCUCAAUAGUUUCUUAAGACUAUUUCAUUUUUCUCUAUAAAAUGCGGAGUGGGGCUAUUACCUCCAUUUUGUGGAUGAAGACACUGGUGGCUGGAGCCAUGAAGUGGACUGUGAGCUCUGUGAAGCAGAGGACCAUGCCCACCUUGCUCAUUGCUACACAGGCACAUGCACAGUGAGGCCCAGGGGAGCUCCACUAAGUAUCUGUGGUUGAGGAGAACAUUAGAUUCCACCUGUCUGCAUCCAAGACAAGUGUCCUUUCCAAUGCCUCAUUGCCAUCUCCAAAUAACUGUUUCUGUGGGUAGGUGAAGAGGUGAAAGGCACAGAGCAGAGAACCAAACAGCCAUGGUUCAAGUUCCAAGCUACAUACCUGCUUUGUGAACCAACUAUAGACAUCUGCCACUUAAUGAUGGGGACAUAUUCUGAGAACUGUGUCAUUAGAUGAAUCUGUUGCGCAAAUAUAAUGAAGUGUAGUCACACAGACCUAGAGAGUACAGAUCAAUCGCUUGGCAUGGCCCCUGGAUGCAAUUAAGAUGAGGCAGAUGAGGCUGCUGCCAGCAUAACCUGGCAUGCUGCUCUAUAAGAAGCUUUCUUUUAUGAUGGAGUAGGGCUAUUACCCUCAGGAGUAAGGGGCUGUGGUUUUGACUCAACAGUAGAGUGCUCGCCUAGCACGCGUGGGACCCUGGGUUCGAUCCUCAGCACCACAUAAAAAUAAAUAAAUAAAAUAAGGGUAUUAUGUCCAACUACAACUAAAAAAUAAAUAUUUUUAAAAAUUUAAAAAAAAUAAGUAGGAGUAAGUACAUUGCAAAAUAAUAAUAAAAAGUAUGGAGCAGUAGAUACACAGCCCAGUGACAGAGUCACUUAUUAGCAAGUAUGAUAUGCUAUACCUGGUUGCAGGUGCUGUACUCCCAGCCAAUGGAAAGUAGAUUUGUUUACGUCAGCACCACAAACACCAUAAUGUACUGUGCUGUCAUUAGUAGUUGAUAAGAAUUUUUCAGCUCCAUUAUAAUCUUAUGACACCACCAUCAUAUAUGCAUGCCAUCCUGUGUUGAUCAGAACAUUGGUAUUUGAUGUAUGACCAUAUCUAUUACUUGUUGUAUAAUGACAAUGGUCCCCUUCCCAGUGUAAUCCCUUAGGUUUUUUUUUUUUUUUUUUUUUGGUACUGGGGAUUGAAUUCAGGGGCAUUCAACCACUGAGCCACAUCCCCAGCCCUAUUUUGUAUUUUAUUUAGAGACAGGGUCUCACUGAGUUUCUUAGCUCCUUGCUAUUGCUAAAACUGGCUUUAAAUUUGCGAUCCUCCUGUCUCAGCAUCCUGAGCUGCUGGGAUUAUAGGUAAUGCAUCACCCUUAGUCUUUUGAUAUUCCAAAGUAUUUCAAAGGAACUGAGGGAAAAAAAUGAUUUGGAGACUGGAGCUUUCAAGAAGAAUCCCAUCUUUGGAGGUCAGUAUACUGGAACAGAAAAGAAAGGCUUUGGAUAGAGUGAGAAUGGUGUGGCUGGGCUUUUUUUUUUUUUUAAUUGAACUGGAACAGAAAGAACAAAAGUAAAAAAAGAAACUUGGAGAGGGAGCUAGUAGUUAUGAGCAACUGUCACACAUUCACCAUGCCUGGUGUUUUAUAUGCGGUGUCUCAUUGAAUCCUCAUGAAGGUUCUAUAAGGAAGAUGACCAUUUUACAGAUAAGGAAACUGAGGGUCAAAAAGGUUAAGCACCUUCAACCCAUCCUGUGAAAUGGCAAAACAAGGCUCAUUUCCAGGUUGCUUUGGCUCUGAAGCUCAUCUUCUUUGCACAAGGACAGCUGCCUCUCUUUAUGAUAAAAGAAAACAAACAAACAAACAAAUAGAUUUGUCAGGCUUUAAAGUUUGCCAAAAAGUUUCAUCUUCUCUUGGGUGUCCACUGGGGGAGUGAUUUAUCUUUGGAAAUAACACCCAUGUCGACAUUCCACUUUCUCUUCACUUGACCUCUUUUUAUUUCUUCACACCUAUCAGUGUAACGGUGAAGUCUGCAGUUCCCUGAGCCCUGAAAUUUUAUUCCGUGGUCAGGCUACAAACUUGUGACUCCCUUAAAAAUCAUGAUUUGUGCUCAACCUGAGUUCUUGUAGCAGAGACAUAAAUAAGCAUAUUCUUCCUAUUUUAAAAUACAAUAUUGAUUCUGUUCCUUAUAACACGAGAGAGGAGUAAGUGAGAAGUCAGAGUGGCGGCUUAAAAAUUGAACCCUGUAAAGUUUACAGGCAAUCUACAGUGAGGCUAAAUCUAACAGCCAUGAAACAAAAAAAUAGCACAAUCACUUUACAGGGGUUUUCCGGGCGACUCUGGAAUUCAAGUGUUCAAGUUCAGCCCGUGUAAUAAAAACACGUUUACGAUGGUUUGCCAAGAGGAACAGGAGAUGGAGAAAAGAACACCUGUAUCAGUGAGCAUCCUAAAACCAAAAGCCUCCUGAGGAGUGUGCCAAGUCUGCUCUAAAGAGAAAGGAUAUCAAACCGCAUAGGGAACAAAGCCCCUUGUUAACCCAGGCAUCCUGCAAUCAUCAUCCAUGAUCACAGCAAACUUUAAUGGAGUACCUGCAACAAAGACAAGGAGCUUGUCAGCCCAGAGGGGCCGAGCUGACUGCCCAAGGCUCCCUGAGUCUUAUCCUCUGAGGGGGUGAGACAAAUAUGUGAACCAUAAUUAUUGCACAAAGACUCUAUUUGAGAUAUCUAACAGCAAUACCAGUGAAUAUUCUUUGGGUGCUUAGGGCAAGGCCAUACUCAGUUCUAGCACAUUCUUACUCUUCACAAUGGCUCUACAAAUAGGUGCUGUUAUCACCUAGAUGAGUAUAGACACAGUGAAGGACUUGCUCAAGGUGAGACAAUGACCUAUGUGGGAAGGGCUAUGAGGGUACACUGGAAGAACUGACUAGCUCUGCCUGAGGGCAGACCUGAUGCACAUAACCUGGAUCCUAAGAAAGGAAGAGGAGUUUUCUGGAUGAGAAAUGGCAUAGGGAAGCACAUUCUAGACAGCAUGUGCCGGAGAAGGAAGGCGCUGGGGAGCCUGGCAUACCUGGGGAACCAAGAGGAGCUCAAUGCAGGAGAAGCACAGGACUCACAAUGUGUGGUGGUCCGAGGGGAGAUGGCACGGACUGUGAGGGGCUUCGUGAGUCACCAUACGGAGUUUGGCCAAUAAGGGGCCAAGCAUGGAUUUUAAAUAAAGGACUGAGGGUAAUCUUGCAGUCAAAUUUGGUGAGCGUACACUACCCAGAAGAAAAUGUAAAGUAGGGAAAUGGGUUUGGAGGCUAAUCCAGUAACCCAGAUGAGAAGUGGUGGCUGAAACUGGGCUAGUGACCAGGGAAUAUGAAAGAUUUACAAACAAUACAUUUACAUAUCUGCGGUUAUAUUUCUGCUUAUAUUUCUUUCUACUAGGUAGGAAGCAUUCAUACACCAAAACUGAGUUGGUAAAGACUGAAAAAUACUUGUAACUUGAGUAUUUACUGAGUAAAUUUGGGCUCAUCUAUUCAUUUUCACCAAACACUACAUAUUUUUAAAAACACUUUUUAGAUGUUGAUGGACCUUUAUUUUAUUCAUUUAUUUAUAUAUGGUGCUCAGAAUCAGACCCAGUGCUUCACAACAUGCUAGGAAAGCACUCUGCCACUGAGCCACAACCUCAGCCCCAACAGAGUACAUAUUUUUAAAAGGCUUUAUAUUGUUCCUGGUACAUAUUAUAUACUCAAAAUUACACACACACACACACACUAGCCAGGUGACCUGAUAAUCUAGGAGCUACUCUGAACCUCAAAGCUACAACCCAAUGGUUUAAUUGAGCACGAUUUUUCCAAUUUGUAAGGUAACAAUUUAAUUGUCAAGUGAGAGAUAACUGUGUUCAGGUUUAAGGAAGAUGAGAAUAAGUCUUUCUCUGGCAUAAACAUCACACCUCAAUGUCAUCAAGUUGAAUAAAUUGUCUCUGCCACCCUCUUUUGUCCAUAGGGAUGUUGGAUAACAGAGAACCCAAGCUACCUGCCCAUACCCCCACAGCAAGAUGAUGUAGAAGAAGGAAAAUUUUUAUAUACCAUCAUAUUAGCCUUUUUUAAUAUUGCUUCUCCUUUCACUUUAAGAGAAAGUUGGGAAAUUGUGGAUAGAGAGGGAAAGCAAAUUCUGCAUAAAAGAAAACAUUUUUUAAAAAAUACAAAUGUGGCCUAAUUUAAUUUCCCAUACAUGUUUCCACCGGCUUUGGAAAAAAAAGGUUAAAAUGCAAUUCUCCAAAACGAAGUUAUUGGAUAGAAGAAUAUUAACCUCUUCACCCCUUGUACUUUGACUCGUUUUAUCUCCUUUUCAUUUUUGUUUGUGGGUCUAUUCAUUUUGGUGAGGCCAGGCACGUUGCUAGGUAACGGGCCCAUGGUGGGCCAGAGCGUGAGGCUGGCUGGCUGGCCCCGGUGGCAGACUUCCCUAGCGCUAGCUGCCGGCAAUGCAGUCUCUCACAAAAAGCAUUUAUCACCGAGCAGGCACAGUAAUGGCCACUCAGUGGAGGGGAAAUUGAGCUGACCCGAAGGCCAAAGCUGUUAGGGAGACUGCUGGGAAGGGUAAGAGGGUCACACACCCUUUUCCCACCCACUUAGUGGGCAGUAAGCGGUGGAACAGCCCAGCCACUGUUUCCACUAACAUAUCCCGAGGCUUUGCACCUGAAAUAAAUGUUUGCUUGACAUUAACGAUAAAAAAAAAAAAAGGAGGCAAAAAAUAAAAUCGGUUUGCUC